rnacentral:misc_RNA from 1 species
AACCUAGCACACCUGCGGUGUGUACCUGCGGAAGGAUCAUUAAAAAGAGUGUGUACCCCUCUGUAAAAUGAGUGGGUUACCUCCCGUCCUUUGUUGACCUCUUAGGAGGUUAUUUUGAACUUUCUGCUUCGGUGGGGUUAAACCUACCGGAACACCCUCAAAUUCUUAUCAUUUAAAAAUUGUUCAGUCUGAUUUUUGUUAAUAAAAACAAAAAACUUUUAACAACGGAUCUCAGAUCGG